rnacentral:rRNA from 1 species
UACGUAGGUGGCAAGCGUUGUCCGGAUUUACUGGGCGUAAAGAGCGCGCAGGCGGUCGUUCAAGUCGAGUGUGAAAGCCCCCGGCUCAACUGGGGAGGGUCACUCGAUACUGAUCGACUCGAAGGCAGGAGAGGGAAGCGGAAUUCCCGGUGUAGUGGUGAAAUGCGUAGAUAUCGGGAGGAACACCAGUGGCGAAGGCGGCUUUCUGGACAGUCACUGACGCUGAGACGCGAAAGCGUGGGGAGCAAACAGG